rnacentral:rRNA from 1 species
GACGAACGCUGGCGGCGUGCCUAAUACAUGCAAGUCGGACGCAGUUGCGAACGGGUGAGUUACGCGUAGGUAACUACCUAUUAGAGGGGGAUAACUCCUGGAAACGAUAGCUAAUACCGCAUACUAGUAGAUUGACCUGCGUUGUAUUAGCUAGUAGGUAGGGUAAUGGGCUACCUAGGCAACGAUACAUAGCCGACCCGAGAGGGUUGUGCGGCAAAAUGGGAACGAGAAACGGCCCAGAAGCCUACGGGGUGCAGGAAGAGGGGAACUUCGGAAAUGGGGGGAACGCUGACCUAGCAACGGCGCGGGAGUGAAGAAGGUUUUUGGAUGUUAAAGCUCUGUUGUUAAGGAAGCGGUACUUAACGAGAAAGGAACGGCUAACUACGUGCCAGCAGCCGCGGUAAUAC